rnacentral:lncRNA from 1 species
UUCUUCAAAAAAACUGUUGGAAAAGCACCUGAUAGGUGCAAGCGGUUCCAAGACCACCCUAGAUGGACAAAAGGUCCCAUAAGCCAAAUCAACAGAAGUUCUAGCGAUAGAAGACACUAUAGUAGGGGCGACAAAGUCCCCUGCACCAUUCUAAACAUUCCUUCCCUUACCACUAUUUUCGUUGAUUUUACCAAUAGAGAGGAUGAAGCCAGAAGGAGGAAAGGCAAGAGGAAGCACAAUGAGCGGUUUACUUCUACUCAUUCUCCUAAGUGCGACUGUCUAGGUGGGGAGAAAUCAAUCCCUCUUGUUGGCAGCAUUUUCAGUACUGGGUUAUGAAUGGGAGAUAAAGUCUUAUUUCACCUUAACUUAGAGGAGAAGGAGUUGAUAAAUGGUGUCUCAGAAGUUGAUGUGUUGGAUGCUGUAGUGGAAUUUAGCUUGUGCGUGGUCGCUUAAUGUAAGAGGGUGUCUCCUUGCAUUCAUCAAUCAAAGAUAGUCCGAUUGGAGAAGGACUUGGAAGGUUCCCAAGCAGAUCUUGCAACAAAUCUUAAGGCCAAUAGGGUAUGGACGACCCAAUUGAAGGAGAUCAAGUCCGCUCACACAUAGUGUGCGCAAAAGGAAAAAGAUUCAGCCACCAGGGUUGUUACCUUGGUUGAAAAAUAAAAAAUUUUGGUGGCAGAAACUAGCUGAUUGCAAUGACAUGUUGAAAAUCUCCUUCUAUCUCAAAAAAUUGAUCAGAAGGCCCAAAGAGACUUAGAUAAAAAAUACAAGUUCUUAACUGCGGAGCUUAAUGAACCAAGCAGUUGAUCAUGGCUCAAUAUGAGGACAAUUUCCAGAAUGCUUUGGACUAAAUGAUUU